UACAGAGGUGGCAAGCGUUGUUCGGAAUUACUGGGCGUAAAGGGCGCGUAGGCGGCCUUCUAAGUCAGACGUGAAAUCCCUCGGCUUAACCGAGGAACUGCCCUCCAACUGCGUUGCUUGAGGCCGGGAGAGGUGAGUGGAAUUCCCAGUGUAGCGGUGAAAUGCGUAGAUAUUGGGAGGAACACCAGUGGCGAAGGCGGCUCACUGGACCGGUUCUGACGCUGAGGCGCGAAAGCGUGGGGAGCAAACGGG
rnacentral:rRNA from 1 species